ensembl:lncRNA
ACAAGAACCGUGUGUAGAGUGACUGUGGGAUAGUGAAGUGCAGAGACAGAGGGUGCUUCUCUAUUGAUUUAUCCUUCUGUAACCUCUUUUUGUUUUUUUUUCCCCUGCAGACUGUUUUUUGGGAGCUGGUCUGGCCAGGCAGAUUUGACUGGAGCCAGAGUGUAGAUACAAGGCUGAGCUCAGAUAAACAGCUUCUUGUUUGAGCUGCCGCUGCACUGAGCUGCUCUGUGCUGAGCUGAGCAGGCUGAUAAGAAAGGCAGUGGCGGCGUCGGGGCCGUGGCAGCCAAGAGAAUGGACCAGGGCCUGGGGAAGUAGACACUCUGACUGCACCCUGCCCUCCCCUGACCGCUUCUCCUCCCAGCCCUAAUCUCUCUUCUUUUCUUCUCUCCCUCGCUCUUUUCACAGCAAAGGGCAGAGCUGCCUAAUUGCCUGGUGAGAGUGAAAUGUAUCAGUGGACCGCAUCAGCAUGGGGAGCAGGAGAAGAGAUGCAGACACGGCCGGCGGGUCAGACCCAGGAAGAGACGUGACCUCGAUGACUAUCCAUAUUUAAAGUCAGCGCCUGAGGACUGAUGGCGGUUUCCUUUGUGCUCCUGCUUAUUUUUGCUGACCUGGAAGAGGCAGACGGACACUGAACAGAGCCUGGGUAGGGGGUGGAGGAAACAGGGGGCUCUCCUGAAAUAUGGUCCUCUGCAUUCGGGAGGGUGAGGUGGAAUAACAGCAUCAUAUAGCUCUCAGGUGUCAUGCUGUCUGGCAGGGGGUUGGGAAUUGGGGAGGAGGCAGAAAGUGGGCUUAGAUGAAAUGAAAGCACUAUAUGGAGAAAAAGUGAUUAAAGAAAUACAGAAUUAAUUAUUAUUGUUAAUGUAUUAUAUUUAUACUAUUGUUUGAAAAAUCAAUAGUAUAAAUCACACACACACACACACACACACACACACAACAUAUUAUAUAUAUGUUAUUUACACUAUUGAUUUUAUUGUAUAUAUUUAUCAUGUCUGACAUGAAGAUGUAUGACUGCUGGAUGUAAGUUUCACUAUAACACUGCAAAACAAAAAAUAAGUGAAUGAAUAAAUAAAAUUAUUUAUCAUUACUAAUGAUAAUUAAUACAAUUAUUAAUCAUUACUCUACAUUAGUCUUUAGUGUCACAUGAUGCCUCAUAAAUCAUUCUUAUCAGUGUUGGAAACAGUAGUUUUCAGGAUUCUUUGACAAAUAAAAAGUUUAAAAAAAUAACAGCAUUUAUUCAAAAUAGACUUUUUUGAAAGAAAAUAAUAUUUUUAUUCAGCAAAGAUGUGUUAAAUUCUUAAAACGUGAUAAAGUCUUAUAU